rnacentral:lncRNA from 1 species
AUUUAAGAAAGCUAAGUUAAUUCUAUUUAUUUAUAUCUAUGCAUUUUACAUUUUUAUUCUCAUAAAAUUCUAAUAUACUAAAUAGUUACGAACAUAUUUCCUACUCUCAUCAAUUAUUUUCAUAUAAGAUUUAGGGUUUUAUUUCUGAUAUUGUAGCUUCUGCAGGUUAAUCAAUAUAAAAACUAUAUGAAAACCUAGAGUACUGCAAGUAGAACCAUCUGUCUUGGUAUUGUAUGUUGCAAAUUUUAUUCGAAAAGAAUCUACUUAUUAUGAGUGUAAGUGUAAUUCAGAUGUAAUCCAUGUUAUGGGAGAAUCAAUAUUAUGGAGAGAGAGCUGCACC